GGGCUGAUAGAUCAGGGGUAGAUCGCGACAUUCGCAAUGUCGAGGCCGCGGGUUCAAAUCCCGCUCAGUCCA
rnacentral:tRNA from 2 species